rnacentral:rRNA from 1 species
UACAGAGGGGGCAAGCGUUGUUCGGAAUUACUGGGCGUAAAGGGCGCGUAGGCGGCCUUCUAAGUCGAACGUGAAAUCCCCGGGCUCAACCCGGGAACUGCGUCCGAUACUGGAAGGCUUGAAUCCGGGAGAGGGAUGCGGAAUUCCAGGUGUAGCGGUGAAAUGCGUAGAUAUCUGGAGGAACACCGGUGGCGAAGGCAGCUUGCUGGGACGGUACUGACGCUGAGACGCGAAAGCGUGGGGAGCAACAGG